CAUUCAGCCGUCCUCGAAGGACUGGAGUUAUGACUGGUACAAAGAUGGACUAAAACAAACCCGUACAAUCAAGAAUCAAUUUAAAAUCAAAUCAGUGGAUCAGUCAAACAAUGGAAGUUACACUUGUAGAGGAAUUCACAAAAGACAAGUAAUAACUGCACACAGCAGUGGUAUUACAGUUUAUGUUUAUGAUGACAAAGCUGUGCCUACCUUAAGUCAGCACCCAAAUUACACCUCCGUCUAUGUGGAGGAGCAGGUGACCUUCAUGUGUGAAGUAGAGAUCGAUUCUACAGGCUGGGAGUAUCAGUGGUUCAAAAAGAAUCUUCAAGGGCCAAUCCCGAACACUGACCCAACAACAACGAAUUAUACAAUAAAGUCUGCUUCUGCAAAACAUGAAGACGAAUUUUGGUGUAGAGCUCAGAGAGGGGUAUAUCAGUCAGAACCCAGCGGGCCUAUACAAAUACAGGUUUUGUCUCGUCCUGAUACUGUGCUGACCCUGGAGACUGACUGGGCAGACAUUCUCACUGUGGAUAGUUUGACAUUACGGUGUGAUGUACAGGUCAAAGAUUUUGAAUGGAAUUACACUUGGUACAGAGACGGCAAUGAGAUGGCAGACAUCUCUGCAGAUGUUCAUGUGAAAUCCACCAAGGAAACGUAUCAGAGUGAAUACACGUGCCGAGGGGCCCGACUCCAGCGUCCGACAUAUUCAGCACUCAGUGAAGCUUUUAUAGCAAACAACAUUGUUCUGAAACGGAAAAUCCUUCUCUCCAUUUCGGGCUGUUUGGUUGUCGGCAUUGUCCUUAUUGUGCUGGGCUGUAUCAUUCUGAAGGUGACCCGGAAGCCAG